UACGUAGGGGGCAAGCGUUGUCCGGAUUUAUUGGGCGUAAAGAGCUCGUAGGUGGUUCGGUAAGUCGGAUGUGAAAUCUCCAGGCUCAACCUGGAGGGGUCAUUCGAUACUGCCGUGACUAGAGGUCGGUAGGGGAGUGUGGAAUUCCUGGUGGAGCGGUGAAAUGCGUAGAUAUCAGGAGGAACACCGGCGGUGUAGACGGCUUUCUGGACCGUAGCUGACGCUGAGACACGAAAGCGUGGGUAGCAAACAGG
rnacentral:rRNA from 1 species